UUGCCCAUGCUAGCUCCCGCUGCAUCUGCGCGGAUGGUGUGUGCUAGCGUUUAGGUGCUGAUGCUUAGCUAGGUGGCUAGGUGCAUGCAUGCAUUGUUUUCUUUUUUCUUUCUUUUUCUACAGAAAUUGUAACGACAAACAUGUUUGCGCUCUCGUGGUCUCGUUCCGCCUUGCUGUCGUGUCCGUCCAUGGUGCCCUCAUCGCCGCGCACUAUGCCCGCUUCCUCGCGCCGCCGCCCUGAGCCGUGCCCGCCGCCUCGUGUG
rnacentral:lncRNA from 1 species